UGAGAUCGCUUCUGAAGUGAAGAGAGCCGAGUGAACCCAGGCUUCCUUAUUGGGAACCAGGCCUUGUUACCUGCUCCUCCCCCAGUCACCAGAGGGUGCGGUGUCCUUGGAGAGGCUCCUGGCACCAGGAUCUGAGAUGAGAGGGGAGAAAGAAGGCUCCGUCCAUUAUACAACGCGUACACUUGCUUCGUGCCGAAAUGCUCAUUGGCCACCUGGAGCAGAUAUACAGCUUUGCAGCAAGAUAAAAGGCCUCUGCAUUGGACGCCACUCAUGAAGUGAUCACCAGACUAGAAGACGAAAGAUGAAAGAGGUCAUGUUUGCUUGAAAUCACUCAGUGGCCAAAGCAGUUCUGCUUCUUUCUCCCCAUGUCCUCCUCUGUACUACAUGCCUUCAGAGCCACAUACUUUCUGAGAGGUUUAUAAUGCAUCACCAUUUGAUGCCCCAAGGAUUUUCUAAGUCAUUGUAAUCAACACUUACUAAGCCCCCUCAAGUAAUUAAAGCCCUUUAAUCCUCAAAUGUGAAAGAAAACAACAAGGCUUUAUCUUUGUGUCUGUGUUGGAAAACGUCUCUCCUGAAUCUCAUCACUCUUGAUAUCAAUUAUCCAACGAAGUGUAGAGACACUCUCAGGAAAACUCACAGGGCAAAAUUAAUUUUCAUGCCUUUAAUUUACUAAGAGCUGAUGAAGUAACUGUAGUUUACUGACACUAUCUUUGUCUGCCCUGUUGAUCUCUAAUCCCUUUCACAUCUGCAGGCUCAUCUCCCUCUCUCCCCCAAGCAGGCCCCUCUGGGUCCUUCUGCUCCAAGCUUAUUCCUGUCUGUGGGCCAUUGUUUGUGAUAUGUCCUGUCACCUGAAAGAAUUAUGUGUCUCCCUCAACUUAUUAAAACUAAGAUCACUUUCUGGGUUUCACUAGCAGUCCUAUAUUCCUUUCCUGAUUUAUUACUGUGUUAGUGGACAUUUGUGGCACUUGUGUAGUCAUUAGUCUUGUUUUCCCAACUGGAUUGGGCAUUUAUUGCCCUCAUGUUAAGCAGACUCC